CCCUUAGAUGUUCUGGGCCGCACACGCGCUACACUGAAGGAGGCAGCGUGUACUCCUGGAUCGAAAGAUUUGGGUAACCCGCGAAUCUCCUUCGUGCUAGGGAUUGAGGUUUGCAAUUAUCCUUCAUGAACGAGGAAUUCCCAGUAAGUGCAAGUCAUAAGCUUGCGCUGACUACGUCCCUGCCCUUUGUACACACCGCCCGUCGCUCCUACCGAUUGAAUGGUCCGGUGAAGCGUUCGGACCGCUUCCUUUGGACGGGCAACCGUCUGUUGGUCGUGGGAAGUUCGUUAAACCUUAUCAUUUAGAGGAAGGAGAAGUCGUAACA
rnacentral:rRNA from 1 species